AACGAACGCUGGCGGCGUGCCUAACACAUGCAAGUCGUGCGAGAAAGUUCCUUCGGGAGCGAGUAAAGCGGCGCACGGGUGAGUAACACGUAGGUAACCUGCCCCCCAGUCUGGAACAACUAGAGGAAACUCUAGCUAAUGCCGGAUGAGACCACGAUCCCUUCGGGGUUGCGGCCAAAGAUGGCCUCUACUUGUAAGCUAUCGCUGAGGGAUGGGCCUGCGGGCCAUUAGCUUGUUGGUGAGGUAACGGCUCACCAAGGCUGUGAUGGCUAGCUGGUCUGAGAGGAUGACCAGCCACACUGGGACUGAGACACGGCCCAGACUCCUACGGGAGGCAGCAGUGGGGAAUAUUGGACAAUGGCGAAAGGCCUGAUCCAGCAAUAGCCGCGUGAGU
rnacentral:rRNA from 1 species